UGUUACCUAUUCCGAUCACUCAGAUUCGUAUAUCCGGAUAUACCAAUGUAUCAUUUCUGUCAGAUAUCCAUAUAAUUCCUCUAGCAAGCAUGCUGAUAGAAUUACGAGGUGACUGGACAUACUCUCCUACCUCCCAUCACAUUAUUAAGCUGGGCUUUCUUCUGGUGGACCCAAGUAUCGAGUCAAUCUGGUUUGCUUUAGUCACAGGUUGAAAGGCGCGAUAUUGGGCUGCUAUGCUCAAAGGGAGCUAAUGGAUUUUAAGUUUAUAUUCUUUUUAGGAUCUGGUUUUCUAGUUUGAUGGUUUUCAUUAGUUCAUCAGUCAUUAUUAUUAUUACCUGUUAUAUUCAAACUUAAUUAUUUAUAUUAAUACAAAU
rnacentral:lncRNA from 1 species